rnacentral:rRNA from 1 species
AGAGUUUGAUCCUGGCUCAGAACGAACGCUGGCGGCGUGGCUAAGGCAUGCAAGUCGAACGAGGUGUGUGGAAGGUAACGGAAGCACAUUUAGUGGCGAACGGGUGAGGAAUAGAUAGGUAACGUACCCUGGACACAGGAAUAGCGGCGGAACUUCGGUUCCUUUGCGAAAGUGCCGGUAAUACCUGAUGACAUCACUGGACCGCAUGGUCCGGUGAUCAAAGGUCCGCAGGUCUGGGAGCGGCCUAUCUCCUAUCAGCUUGUUGGUGGGGUAACGGCCUACCAAGGCUUCGACAGGUACCAGGCGUGAGAGCGCGAUCUGGCACAUCGGGACUGAGACACUGCCCGGACAUCUACGGAUGGCUGCAGCAACGAAUAUUCCGCAAUGGGCGCAAGCCUGACGGAGCGACGCCGCGUGUAGGAUGAAGCACUUCGGUGUGUAAACUACUGUCAGGGGUUAGGAAGAAAGUGACCAACCCCAAAGGAAGCCUCGGCUAACUCCGUGCCAGCAGCCGCGGUAAUACGGAGGAGGCAAGCGUUGUUCGGAAUUACUGGGCUUAAAGCGUGCGUAGGCGGGAUGGCAGGUGUCGUGUGAAAGCCCUCGGCUCAACCGAGGAACUGUUCGGCAAACCGUCAUUCUUGAGGCCAGC